rnacentral:rRNA from 1 species
GGCAGGCCUAACACAUGCAAGUCGAGCGGAUGAAGGGAGCUUGCUCCUGGAUUCAGCGGCGGACGGGUGAGUAAUGCCUAGGAAUCUGCCUGGUAGUGGGGGAUAACGUCCGGAAACGGGCGCUAAUACCGCAUACGUCCUGAGGGAGAAAGUGGGGGAUCUUCGGACCUCACGCUAUCAGAUGAGCCUAGGUCGGAUUAGCUAGUUGGUGGGGUAAAGGCCUACCAAGGCGACGAUCCGUAACUGGUCUGAGAGGAUGAUCAGUCACACUGGAACUGAGACACGGUCCAGACUCCUACGGGAGGCAGCAGUGGGGAAUAUUGGACAAUGGGCGAAAGCCUGAUCCAGCCAUGCCGCGUGUGUGAAGAAGGUCUUCGGAUUGUAAAGCACUUUAAGUUGGGAGGAAGGGCAGUAAGUUAAUACCU